rnacentral:misc_RNA from 1 species
GACGAACCGUGCAAACGUUGUUCGGAAUCACUGGGCUUAAAGGGCGCGUAGGCGGGCUCUCAAGUCAGGGGUGAAAUCUUUCGGCCCAACCGGAAAAGGGCCCCUGAUACUGAGAGCCUCGAGGGAGGUAGGGGUCGAUGGAACUUCCGGUGGAGCGGUGAAAUGCGUAGAUAUCGGAAGGAACGCCGGUGGCGAAAGCGAUCGACUGGACCUCUUCUGACGCUGAGGCGCGAAAGCCAGGGGAGCGAACGGG